rnacentral:misc_RNA from 1 species
AAGUCGUAACAAGGUUUCCGUAGGUGAACCUGCGGAAGGAUCAUUACCGUUGGGGCUUCGGCCCCAAUCAAGAUACCACCCCUUGCAUUUUGAGUACCUUCUGUUUCCUCGGCGGGCCCGCCCGCCAACGGGGACCACACCAAACCCUCCUGUAGUUGCAGUAAACGUCUGAAAAACAAACAAAAAAUCAAAACUUUCAACAACGGAUCUCUUGGUUCUG